UACGUAGGUGGCAAGCGUUGUCCGGAUUUACUGGGCGUAAAGAGCGCGCAGGCGGUCGUUCAAGUCGCGUGUGAAAGCCCCCGGCUCAACUGGGGAGGGUCACGCGAUACUGAUCGACUCGAAGGCAGGAGAGGGUAGUGGAAUUCCCGGUGUAGUGGUGAAAUGCGUAGAUAUCGGGAGGACACCAGUGGCGAAGGCGGAUCUCUGGACGCAACUGACGCUGAGACGCGAAAGCGU
rnacentral:rRNA from 1 species